rnacentral:tRNA from 1 species
AAUUAAUAAGCUUGUAAGCAUAUAUUUUGAAAAUAUAAGAAAGAAUUAAGAUUCUAUUAAUUU